rnacentral:tRNA from 2 species
GCGUUCUGUAGCUCAGUUGGUUAGAGCACCACCUUGACAUGGUGGGGGUCGAUGGUUCGAGUCCAUUCAGACGCACCA